GGCUGUGACUGAAAAAAAAACCCUGGAGUUUUGAAGUUUUAACAAAAAUAUGUUGAUGUGAUGAUAAUGAUGACUAUGAUGUGGAACAUAGCAAAAUCUGAGCUUGAGGAAGUAAAUUUAGAUGGGUACCUGCUCAUUGAAUGAACAAUUUCUUGUUCAUGAUUGGUUAUACUUUGGAUAUAAUAGACACAGUUUCAAUGUGUUAGAGGUGAACCAAACAAGCUAUGAAAAAUGCCUAGAUACAGGAUUCAUCAAGAACAUAUCAAGAGGCACCGGACGAGACGUUUUCCGGUUGACGGAGGCGAAGACCUAUUACUUCUUAAGUGGAGGAGAUUACUGUUAGCAAGGGGUGAAGGUUGCUGUUGAUGUUUCCGACCAUCUUCCACCAGCUCCGGCACCUGUUCCCAAAGAAAGUGGCAGUUCUUCCAUUUCUUCUACCUUUUAGAUAUACCAUUCACUUGUGAGGGUUAUCUUGGUUUUGAUCUUCACCAACUUUUUGGUAUAACUUCAGCUAUUAGAAUUGACAUAAAAUAUCUUGUUGAUUUCUAUUGACUUUGUAAUGGUGGAUUCAACUAUAAAAUAUUCAAACUUUGUUA